rnacentral:rRNA from 1 species
UACGGGGGGUGCGAGCGUUGUCCGGAUUCACUGGGCGUAAAGGGCGCGCAGGCGGCUCUGAAAGUCAGAUGUGAAAGCCCCGGGCUUAACCUGGGAAUUGCAUUUGUGACUGCACGGCUAGAGUGUGUCAGAGGGAGGUAGAAUUCCACGUGUAGCAGUGAAAUGCGUAGAUAUGUGGAGGAAUACCGAUGGCGAAGGCAGCCUCCUGGGAUAACACUGACGCUCAUGCACGAAAGCGUGGGGAGCAAACAGG